AAAAAUUCAAAACCCACAUCACAACACCACCCCUAGGUCAUCGUCUAAGCCGGUGACACUAUAAUAACAAUAAAAAUAGUUUUUAUAAAUUUUUUUUUUGUAUUUUUUGACCUAUGACCGGCCUAGAUAGUGUUUGUUAAGUUUUUAUUGGACAAACCAAUGUUACUUGAUACACUUGAAAUGUUGAUUUUUGUUAUUCGGAUUUAAACGAGAACCGAACAAAAUAACCUAAAAAUGAUUUACCCAAACCUUAUUUUCUUCAGUUUUGGUUAAUAUUUUAUAGGUGAAAAAACGAUUACACCAAACCAAAUGAAUUAACUGAUAACCGAUUAAACCGAGGAAUAAAACCCCUACAUACAAUGAUAACCUAGUAAUAAUGGCUAUGAUUUACACAUUCAAUUACUAACCUAUAUUUACCAGCUUUUCCCAAGAAAACACUCUUCUUCUUCUGAAUUCGACAUGUCUUCUUCAAAAGAGUUUGCAACCGAUGAGAGCAAGGUAUUGGAAAGAAACAAAAUCAUCAUGUGAACUUCAACAACUAAAGUGGAUUUGUUUAGGGUAUGUGAGUGCUAAUGGUGUUGAUUUUUUUUUACAAUGUGAAUCCAUCAUGGUGUUUUUUUUCUUUUCAAAAGCACCUGGAAGAAAAAAAAAAUAUGUAAAAGGAAAAGAGGCGCACAUGGAUUAUGUGAACAUGGAAGAGAUUUAAUUUAACAAGGUUGAGACGAUGAUGAAAGAAAUAAGGUAUGUCAAUAAAGAGCUUAUAUAUUACCACUUUUGCAUGCCUUAUGUACAGUUGGAUUGUAUGUGGACUCUAUCUAGGUAUGUUGGUAAGGUUAAAAAGAUAAAAGUAUAUAUCAGACAUGGAAAAACACAUCCAUUUAUGUAAAGGUAAAAAUUGGACUUUGAAUUAAACAUUGCAUUUCAUGAUCAAUAAGAAGCAGAUUAUUUUGAUCCAUGUUUUGAUAUGAGAGUUGAUGAUGUACCAUAUAAAGGAAACAUUGAGGAUGAUUGAGUUAAUAUUCAAAUUGAAUAUGGAAUUAAUGUGAAGGGAAACUUGGCAAGCAAUCUAGAUGACGUGGAUAAACAAGAGUUAAUUGAUGACAUGGCAGAAUUCCACAGUUUUACUAUAAUGUUUGUUUAUUCAGAAUAUCUUUUGUGGUCUUAUUUAGAGUAUGGUACUUAUUAGAAUCAUUGUCUAGCUAGCAUACCUUAGCAUGUAUUUACCUUUGCAUACAAGGACUGAUUUCCUAUAAAUAGGUGCAUGUGUGUCUUUAUCACGUAUAUUGUAACUUUACAUGGAAAUUUAUAAGAAACAACUUGGUUCUUCGUAUUGUUCUUCAUGUUCUUAAAUAUUGUUAUUAUAUUCCGUAUUUUACAUUUAUUGUUUGAGCUUACACAAUCAUAACUCAACAGGGGUAAUGGUUGUAUGGAUGAUGACAUUGAAGGUUGUUGCAUGUUAUUUGUUUUUGAUUUGCUAAUUAAUAUUUGGUGAAAGUAUGAAUGUACAUUAAUCUAUUUUGUUAGAUUUUCAAAAUAAAUGUCUUACUAUGAAAUAAAUUAAAACUAUAUAAUGCUAUAUAACAACCAGUAACCAAAUUCAAACAGGUUUCAGAUUUCAAAAAAAAGUUAGAUUUAAAAAAAAAAAAAAAAAAGACUAAUAAACAAUGUCUUGACAGAAAAAGAAAAGUUUAAAACUAUACAGCUCUAAUUAUUUACAAAAGUCAAACAAGUUUCCGAAGUUCAAUGUCUUAAUAGGAAAAAUAGUUGAAAGUUUAAUGCUAUAAUUGGUAAACAAAAUCAAACAAUCUUAAAAUUUGGAAAUACAAUAUCUUAAUAGGUUUGAUGUUGAAACUGUAAUUCAAUAAAUGGUUUAGAUUUUUGACUUUCAAAAUGCAAUGUCUUGACUGAAACAAGUUUUGAAAGUACAAUAUCUUAAUAGGUUUUAUUUUUAAGAGUAUAAUGCUAUAAUUUGUUACAUUUUCAAUAUACAAUGUCUAUAUCAAAUGCAGUAUCUUAACAGAACAAAAACAAUUUAAACUAUAAUGUUAUUGUUGGUAUCCAAAUCUAGUUAAAUCUGAAUUUUUAAAGAAAAAUAUUGUAACAGAAAAAAAAAAUGGAAGCACAAUGUCUUCAUAUGUUGGAUUUUUAAAGUAAAAUGUUACAAUGAAAAGUACAAAGUAAUAAUUGGUUAAUGUACAAUAUAUUAUUACAAAAUAACUGAAAAAAAUACAAUGCUCUAUUAAAAUAUAUGAAAAAAUACAAUGUCUUAAUUACUUGGGUUUUGAAAGUACAAUGUCAUGUGAAAGAAUAUGUUAUAAAUCAGUGUUGCAAAAGUCAUUAGGCGGUCCCAGAGCAGUCGACAGGCGAGUAUUCGGUUUAGGCAGGAAAUACUCGGAUACAGUAAAUUAUAAAACAAUUAAUUUUGGGGAAAUUAUCUAUAUAGAAAAUAUCAAAAGUUAAUUAAAAUUUAUAACAAAAUAGGUGAAUAUCAUAAGUUCAUUAAAAGUUAAAGUGUUAAACUACUCAAAAAUUGAUAUUCAUUUGUUAAUAUUAGAGUAAUAAAGUAAACAUUUAAUUUUCGUCUUCCAAGUUAGCUCCGUGUUGUUCAUUGAUGUUAAAUCCAUCCGAUUCAUAUUCAACUUCUUCAUUCACUUCCCCUUCAUCCUCAAACACAAAUUCUUCCUCAUCAAGUUCUCUCUAGAACUUCUUCAAUUAUGUAAAGAUUCAUCUCUGAGGUCUUCGCUGAUCGCAUCAACUUCAUCAAUGAUAUCAUAUUCAACAAUCUAAUCUAGAGCCUCACUUGCAUCAUUUGUUUUUAGUACCUCCAUAUCCUUUGUUUUUCCUUUUUUUGUUUUUUUCCAUCAAAUUUGCAUUAAAUUGCAUAAAAUCAAAAGUGUUCAAUUUAGUCGUUUCUAGUCUAUUUCUUUUUUUUGUAUGUACCUACACAAUAAAACUAAAAAAACAUGUAAAAAAUAAUUAAAUAUAUGAUUUGUUAAAUUGAAUUAUAUAAUAACUAUAGACUUCUAGAAAAAAAAAUAGUUAACUAUUAACCCUUCAAAAGUGCUCCAAUUUCUUUCACCAACUAGUUUGUCCGGAUCUGAAAGAAAUUGGAGCACUUUUGGAGGGGUUAGCAAUUAUCUAUUUUUUUUACUAGAAGUCUAUAAUUGUUAUAUAAUUCAAUUUAAGAAAUCAUAUAUUUAAUUAUUUAUUAAAUGUUUUUUUUAGUUUUAUUGUGUAGAUACACACAAAGAAAAUAAAUAGACCAAUUACGACUAAAUUAAACAAUUUUGAUUUUGUGCAAUUUAAUGCAAAUUUGAUGAAAAAAAAAAAAAACCAAAGAAUAUGGAGGUAGUAAUAGCGAAUGAUAUAAGUGAGGCUCAAGAUUGGAUUGUUUAAUGUGAUAUCGUUGAUGAAGUUGACGCGAUCAGUGAAAACAUGGGAGAUGACGAAUCUUUACAAAAUCGAAGAAGUUCUAGAUUGAAAGAACUUGAUGAGGAAGAAUUUUUGUCAGAGGAUGAAGGGGAAAUGAAUGAAGAAGUUGAAUAUGAAUCGGAUGGACUUAACAUCAAUGAACAACACAUAGCUAACUUGAAAGACAAAGAUUAGAUGAUCACUUUAUUACUCUAAUAUUAACAAAUAAAUCUCAAUUUUCGAGUGGUUUAACACUUUAACCUUUAAUGAACUUAUGAUACUUACCUAUUUUGUUAUAAAUUUUAAUUAACUUAUGAUAUUUUCUAUAUGAUAAUUUUCCCAAAAUUAAUUGCUUUAUAAUUUACCGUAUCCGUGUACUCCCCGAAUACUACCCCGUCUAAACCGAAUAAACAGUUUUCUGUUGGCAUUCUUUGGGACUGCCUAACGACUUUUGCAACACUAAUUACUAGGUUAAAACUAUAUUUACAUAUUUGUUAAAUUUACCCUUACAAAGACAUAAUAGGAUAUAAAAAGAAACAACCCAUAUGUUCUCAUUCAUCGCUUCUAAAUAACAUUGAUUCAAUCACAUGAAACAAUAUGGAAAGGCUUUUCAAGACAUUUUGCAUGUAAAUUGAGUUAUAAGCAAAGUAAAAUUUGGUUUAAUAUCUUGCACACUGCUCCGGUCAUCCUAUCAAAUAGCCACCAAAAGAAGAUGGUUUAGAUGAUAAUAAUUGAUACCAGAGCAUGUACUUCUUAGUUGACUUUGUAAACAUGUUCUUACUUCUUAGUUAGUAAAUUAAAAUAACAUCUAUUGUGGUUCUUAUUUAUGGCAUGUUGUAUGUAUAUAUUAUCUAUUUAACAACGUUAUAUCCAAACAAAACACACAUACAAUUUUAAAAUAUAUUAUUUUGUUAAAAUCUUCUUGUUUUUAACAACGUUAUAUAUGCACCGACCGCAAGGUGUUUUGGUGAAUAAAAGAAAAUUAUAAAUUUGAUCCCUGUAGUAUACUGUUUUUUCAGUUUUGGUCCAAUGGCACAAUGGUUAAUUUCAAAAAAAAUAACAUCUAGGUUGUUAACUUAGACAACCUGGGACCAAAAUCAUUGUAAAAUAGUAAUAUAAGAACCAAAAUUGCAACCAAGGAAAAGAUCAAAUAAACUCGGGGACCAAAAAUGUAAUUUACUACAAUUAUAAUUACCUUGUCACAACCAAUAACAGUUUGGUUUGGUUAGUCUCUGAAGCCUUUUGUGUUGAAAUCAUACGCACUUUAUACACCAAAGCUGUUUAAACAGGAUUCCAGGAUUUGAUAUGGUUGUAGCAAAGUUUUGUAGUGCAUAGAGUUUUAGGAGGUGAUAUAAUAGAGUAGAUAGCAAUACAUUGCAUUCAGAUUGUAUAUAAUCCUGAUAAAUGUGACCUUGUUGCAUGUGCUAGAUACAUGUUAUCUUGUUGCAUGUAGCAGAUGCAACAAGAUCGCAUUUAUCUGGAUUAUAAAAAAUACGAAUACAACAUUUUGCUAUCUAAUCUAUUAGAUCAACUCCUAAAUGUUGUACCACACAUUUCAUAGAGUGUUUCUGUGAUGUUUGCAAAACCAUUUCUCUUGAGGGGCGUUUGUUUCAGAUAGAUGCACAUUUUGUGUCACCAAAAAGAAUGAAAAUUAGAUUCAUUAUGAAUUAAUAAUAAACAAAAGUAUUAAUCGUUAAUCUAAACUCUACCUUUAUGGAAUAUACUAAGGCUUUGUUAUGUUUAGUAGAGUAUUUGCUUUAAUGAUACCAUAAAUCUUUUCAAAAAUGCUAUUAAUUAAGAUUUGAAAUCGUACUAGAGUAGAAAUUUGUAAAACCAAUAAUACCAAAUUUGACCAAUAUUUUACAAUCCAAAACAAAACUACAAAAACCCCUAAUCCAGCUUUUAUUUAAACAUUGAAAUCUAAGUACUGGGAAACGAUAGCUCUGCACAAACCCACAUCCUCAAAAAAGGUAUUAGGGGUUGUUGAAUCGAAACCCUAAUGUGUUAACUAGCUGUAAUUGUUGACAACCAACUAGCGAAAAACCCUACAGAUGUCCAAUAAAACAAAAUAAAGAAUGGAAAAGACAAUAAGAAUGGAAGCUUACAGCGAUGUUGAUAAUUUCAUGGAGUGUUUGGGUUUUUUGAUAACAGGUGGAAGAGUGAAACAAACAAGGCUAUGUGUAUCUGAUUCUGAAACGAUGGUUCUGUAUAAUCUCCGGCGAAGGACGGCGAUGUUUGGGUAGGGAGUUAGGCUAUCGGUAAUUGGGUUUGGUUUGUUGAUAUCGGGACGAGUGAAAGAACGUAUCUAUUUAUAACGCCACCGACCUAUCCC
rnacentral:lncRNA from 1 species